UACGGGGGUGGCGAGCGUUACUCGGAAUUAUUGGGUGUAAAGGGCAAGUAGGCGGCCUAUUAAGUGAGGGGUGAAAUCUUCCGACUCAAUCGGAAAAUUGCCUUUCAAACUGAUAGGCUUGAGACUGGAAGGGGGAAAUGGAAUUAGCAGUGUAAGGGUGAAAUCUGUAGAUAUUGCUAAGAACACCAGCGGCGAAGGCGAUUUCCUGGUCCAAGUCUGACGCUGAAUUGCGAAAGCUAGGGGAGCAAACAGAAUUAGAUACUCUGGUAGUCCUAGCUGUAAACGAUGAGCACUAGGUGUUGGUCCUUCGGGAUCAGUGCCGCAGUUAACGCAUUAAGUGCUCCACCUGGGGACUACGGCCGCAAGGCUAGAACUCAAAGGAAUUGACGGGGACCCGCACAAGCGGUGGAACAUGUGGUUUAAUUCGAUGCUACGCGAAGAACCUCACCAAGGCUUGACUUGCUCGUCGUACCCCGCCGAAAGGCGGGGGUCGGUUCGGCCGGACGAUGCACAGGUGCUGCAUGGCUGUCGUCAGCUCGUGUCGUGAGAUGUUGGGUUAAGUCCCGCAACGAGCGCAACCAUUGCCCCAUGUUGCUAACCCCGCCAUUUGCUUUGCAAAGGGCGGGGCGCACUCUUGGGGGACUGCCUGGGAUAACCAGGAGGAAGGUGGAGAUGACGUCAAGUCAGUACGGCCCUUAUGCCUUGGGCUACACACGUGUUACAAUGGACGGUACAGAGGGUUGCCAACCCGCGAGGGGGAGCUAAUCUCAAAAAGCCGUCCCCAGUUCGGAUUGGAGUCUGCAAUUCGACUCCAUGAAGCCGGAAUCGCUAGUAAUGGGAGAUCAGCUCGCUCCCGUGAAUACGUUCCCGGGUC
rnacentral:rRNA from 1 species